rnacentral:rRNA from 1 species
UACAGAGGGUGCGAGCGUUAAUCGGAAUUACUGGGCGUAAAGCGUGCGUAGACGGUUUCGUAAGUCGGGUGUGAAAUCCCCAGGCUUAACCUGGGAACUGCAUCUGAUACUGGAUGGCUUGAAUCCGGGAGAGGGAUGCAGAAUUCCAGGUGUAGCGGUGAAAUGCGUAGAUAUCUGGAGGAAUACCGGUGGCGAAGGCGGCAUCCUGGACCGGCAUUGACGCUGAGGAGCGAAAGCUAGGGGAGCAAACGGG